GAUUGUAGUCUGCAACUCGACUACAUGAAGCUGGAAUCGCUAGUAAUCGCGGAUCAGAAUGCCGCGGUGAAUACGUUCCCGGGUCUUGUACACACCGCCCGUCACACCAUGGGAGUCGAUAACGCCCGAAGUCAGUGACCCAACCUGUAAGGAGGGAGCUGCCGAAGGCGGGAUUGAUAACUGGGGUGAAGUCGUAACAAGGUAAC
rnacentral:rRNA from 1 species